rnacentral:lncRNA from 1 species
GAAGACCGUGCCUCAUUUCAUCCCAAUUCCAGCUCUCCCACAAGCCUCCCUUCCAGUCGAGCCACCUCCGGUCGCAAUUUGAACAUCGAAGAGCACCACUCAAGCCGGCGCACUCAGUUUCCCUCGAUUUCAGCUCUCUAAAACCCCUCUCACGCAGUUGAUGACACACCUACCAUCUUCCUCGACGGCCUCCCACCUCCAAUCACAGUAUAAACUCCCACGACUUUGACACCACUCGCUGCGGUCGGAUGCUCGAGAAAUGGGAUUGAUUUCGGCUUAACUGCGGUCUUCAUUACGAUGUGGUUCGGGCAUUAUUCUGCGGCCUCCAGCUAGCGUUUUCAUUGCAAGAGUCGGAGAUUAGAAGCACGCCAUUAUACGUAAGUUACUGUAAUUUUUGCAUGUUUUCCAAUAUUGCUGUAUUCUUGGCCUAGCAUUUGUUCUGUAUGUCUAAUUGAUUCUGGACUGGAAGCACGCUAUUUUCCAUUAGAGAUUCUCGACAUUAUAUUGCUUGUUCUAUGGUUGAGUUGAUUUUGUUAUUAACCGUUAAUUAUAUGAUUCUGGACUGGACUCUUGAAUUUCAAUUAGAGAUUCUCGACAUUAUAUUGUGUGUUCUAUGCUUGAGUUGAUUUUGUAAUUAACCGUUAAUUAUAUAAGUUUUAUACUUUUAAACCAUGUUAACCACGUUUAGAAUUAUGACUAAAUUCUAUCGUGGAUGCCAUUUAAACCCUGUUAAAUAAAUAUUGAUGCAUAUAAUAGUAUUCCAGUAAAUUAGGUUGUUAAAUGUGUCGUUGAUCGAUGGGUGGUUGCAAUCUAAAGAGUUCAUGUAUCGUCUCUAGUAAAUGAAUUGGUGUUUAGUUUGAUUUUGACGUGCAACAAAUUGAUUGUUGGAAACGACUUGAUUUAAGUGAUAUAAUGGUAGCUUUUACUAUGGUUGUAUCAUCUUGUUAGUCUUUACUAUAUAUGAUUUUUGACGUGCAACCUUAUAGUUGUUGGCAACUUAUUCGUAAAUAUUUUACCAGAUAAUUCUUUUGAUUGGACAGAAACGAUGAGUAAUGGAGAAGUUUUUUCGCUAUUGAUUUAUUUAUUUCACAUGCUGCUCUACUUUGAACAAUUUGGGGUUCAUGGUUUGUACAACUGAUUUAUGUGCUUGUUUUCCAUCUAAGGAUAUGAAAGGAAGGAAUGCUGAAAUUUGUCACAGUUGUAGAAGCAAUGGACAUUUUUUCGAUGAAUGCCCCAGAAAACGUUGUUGCCCAAGGUGUGCACAUGGAUUUCAGAAAAAUUUUGAGGUUGAAAAGUAGACGUGUAACAAAGGGCGAUUAUUCAACACAUGCAGUAAGAAAUGUGGAUUUUUCGAAUGGGUCGAACAAGGAGAGUCAAGCGGAGAAUCGAGUACCAUUAAUGAAGCGCUUAAUGUUGCGGCAAAUGAGGAAGUCGAAGAUUUGCCAAGAAUGUUCGAAACUCUAGCUUGAAUAUCCUACGAACGAGAUGUAGAGAUUAACUUGAACAUUACUUUCCGCAAGGGAAACGGAAGUUCGGAAGGAAACGGGAAAACAAAGGAGGCCACUUGAUUAGUUUUAUUGGGUUGAACUUGUUAAUCGAAUUAUGUUUGUACUAGAACUUAUGAAUGACGUAACAACGUAUGUUCUAUCUUAGUAUGGGUGUAAUGCAAUUUAGUUUUAUGUGUAUUCGUUACCUAUAGCCAAAAUUUAUUGUCU